rnacentral:misc_RNA from 1 species
GAUGAAGAACGCAGCGAAAUGCGAUACGUAAUGUGAAUUGCAGAAUUCAGUGAAUCAUCGAGUCUUUGAACGCACAUUGCGCCCCCUGGUAUUCCGGGGGGCAUGCCUGUCCGAGCGUCAUUGCUGCCCUCAAGCACGGCUUGUGUGUUGGGCCUCCGUCCUCCUCCCGGGGGACGGGCCCGAAAGGCAGCGGCGGCACCGCGUCCGGUCCUCGAGCGUAUGGGGCUUCGUCACCCGCUCUUGUAGGCCCGGCCGGCGCUUGCCGACACAUCAAUCUUUUUUCCAGGUUGACCUCGGAUCAGGUAGGGAUACCCGCUGAACUUUAGCAUAUCAAUAAGCGGAGGA